GGCCUCCCUCUGUGGGGUGAUCGAUCAAGGGGCUCCACGAUUGAUCACCCAGCAGAGGGAAGCC
rfam:Myotis davidii contig130151, whole genome shotgun sequence.